AAACUUUCAACAACGGAUCUCUUGGUUCUGGCAUCGAUGAAGAACGCAGCGAAAUGCGAUAAGUAGUGUGAAUUGCAGAAUUCAGUGAAUCAUCGACUCUUUGAACGCA
rnacentral:rRNA from 1 species